CCCUAUAUAAAAGUUAGUUGAUUUAGAGCGCUCCCCUUGCCUUGGCUACUGUUCACGAGCUAUUUAUCUCCAAUUAGCUAGAGACACGUACGCCCUCUUCUUCUCUUUCUUACCUGGUCCAACGCAAGUUUACUUUCUGUUUCCUUUUUUCUAUCCUGAUGGACCACCGGUUACCGGUUUCUCUCCUUCUUUCCUGCAGAUGUGAUGCGGUUGCUCCCGGUAAUUGAGGUUCCCAAGUUUUCUUGGUCAAGGCGGUGCUGCUGGCCCACCUUCACCGCUUAGUUUGACAGAUAAAAAGCACGAACCUUCACGAUGCGCUGCAAACCAGAGAUAUCGGCAACCCAAACCGACCACGUCUCUUUUUCCCUCUCUUCCUCCCCAUCGCAAUCGCCCGCUCCCAUCUUCUCCUUCACAAAAACGUUGUUGUGGCACAUCGGUGGCGAGCAGAUCCAUGGCACUGGCGAGCCGCCAGGGUUGCAGCGGCAGUAGGUGAAGACCUCCUUUGCUGCCGUGGAGGACGGUGGAGGAGGACGAGGCUGACGCCGGGAACUAUGUGAGGAUAUGGAAUUCGGAGCAGCACGUCCACUGUGGUGGCGAUUGCGGGGACGGUUCCCGCCCCAUGACCCCGACGAUGGCCGGCUCCGACUGCUGCAGCAGCCAGCCUCGGGCUCGCCAUCGGACUUAUGCCCUAGCUGGGUUCACCCCUCCGUGAAGAAAAAAUAACGCCGGCGCCCACUCCAUCGCUGCGGGGGCGCGUGCACGGGCUUUCUCGGCCAUCAUCGACCGGCACGACAUCCUGGGGCGCAAGACCCUGCUCCAGUUCGCCAUUCGCCUCCGCCGCGUUGUCGAAGCCAACAUGCUGAUGACGGCGACGUACAUCUCUCCUUCCCUACUGCUGGCAUGGAGAGGACCUCGGAAACUCUCCAUCCUGAGGAGGCACAGUUUGGGAGCAAUUUAGGAGGAGCCGACGCCGGGUGUUGCUCUCUUUCGUAUGCAACCCUGCUUGAUGCAUCGCCAUUCUCAUGGUGAGCCUUCCCUCUGUGUAUCUCAAUAUGUUGGUGAGCCUUUUCUAUAUCUCAAUCUCUCAAUCAAACCGGAAUUCGGAGCAGCACGUCCACUGUGGUGGCGAUUGCGGGGACGGUUCCCGCCCCAUGACCCCGACGAUGGCCGGCUCCGACUGCUGCAGCAGCCAGCCACGGGCUCGCCAUCGGACUUAUGCCCUAGCUGGGUUCACCCCUCCGUGAAGAAAAAAUAACGCCGGCGCCCACUCCAUCGCUGCGGGGGCGCGUGCACGGGCUUUCUCGGCCAUCAUCGACCGGCACGACAUCCUGGGGCGCAAGACCCUGCUCCAGUUCGCCAUUCGCCUCCGCCGCGUUGUCGAAGCCAACAUGCUGAUGAUGGCGACGUACAUCUCUCCUUCCCUACUGCUGGCAUGGAGAGGACCUCGGAAACUCUCCAUCCUGAGGAGGCACAGUUUGGGAGCAAUUUAGGAGGAGCCGACGCCGGGUGUUGCUCUCUUUCGUAUGCAACCCUGCUUGAUGCAUCGCCAUUCUCAUGGUGAGCCUUCCCUCUGUGUAUCUCAAUAUGUUGGUGAGCCUUUUCUAUAUCUCAAUCUCUCAAUCAAACAACACAAGGGAGGGGCCAUGGUUGCAGGAGAGUUCUCAAUUGGAAGUUUUCUUUUUUUUUCUUUCAUGUUGGCUGAUCUGGCCACAGGAAUUCAGGAAGAACCAGUAAUUCAAGAAGAACGAGAAGAGAAAAAAUAUAGAGCAAUCGCAAUAGCUUAAUCUAGAGAGCCAGACGAGUCUCACCAACGCUUCAAACAAACAAACAAGCACCUGAACUUUGUGGCACAGGCCAGGGAGCACUAGAGAUUCACCAAGGCAACCUCUAUCAUGGAACUACUGGAAGAUUAUCUUUACUAUGAAGUUACCGAUCAUGGGUCUUUGUUCCUAUUUUACAGCUCUAAUGGAUUGUUGAUACUGCAUUUUGCAAUAGAAAUUUCCUUUUCAAGCUUACAGUUUUACAACUCACUUUGUUACCUAGCUAAAAUGUAUGGUUAUAGGUACUAAAUGUUCUUGCAACAGUGUGUAUUUUCUCAUAUAAUAUUUUCCGUGAAA